GAAUAUGAAGUGAUAAAUCACGUUUAGUUUCGACCUAAUUUUAGGUAAUAUAUUACCCUUAUUCU
rnacentral:tRNA from 1 species